UUUCACACACUGAAUGCAUGAAAAAGCGGAACCGAUCAUUCGCGGGUUAAUAUUUUGAUAAAAAUUGCAAAAGUUUUACUUACUAAUUAAGUCGUGUGCUAAUCUAUUUUUAAAAUAAGAUCACUACAUAUACGAGAGUACAUAUCUACUUAGUGUGAGAUUGAUGAUAAUAUUGGUUUGAUGUUGUGUCGAAUUUGCCCGAUUCUAGGUUCGUCUUUUUUUAAUGCUGUGAUGUUUUUGAUGUGUUAUUCUAUUCGGUGAUCACUUUGCGAAUCUACGAUUCAGAAGCAAUAUUUAUUUAUGAAAAAUCGUCGUAAUUUACAAGUUAUUGGUAUUUCUCGUUGAAUGACGCAGAUUGCGAUGGAUCUUCAGUUUCGAUUUCGAAAUUCGAUUAUAUACAAUUAUCGAUAAUUUCAUAAUUUGGAAAUUUCUUCAAAGACCUCAUAGUAUAUAAGCUGGAUUGUCGUAUUCUAAAAAGACAAAAACACUGAUAAAAAUAAUAUCCGAAUGAAAGGUACGCUGUGAGAAAUACGAUUCGAGAGCGGAGUUUCAACAGAUGAUUUGAAGAAAAAUCUAUUGGACCGUAAAUUCGUUCCUUAGAAAAGUAUACCCAGUGAUCUUGAUGUUCCUGUUCCUGAGCAAUGAAAGAAUGAUCAUCUUCAUCACCAAAAAUUAUCUAAUGAAUAAUGAAGACGUCUCUCUAGAAAGAGCAUCCCUUAAACUUCUAUGGUCCAAGAAUUCGAUAAUACCAGUGGUUUGAGAGGGGUUUGAAUUGGAUGCCUCAUGUCCAUCUUCAGUCAUAUUCUCAGGUUCUUCUGUUUGAAAUGUGAAAUCCAAUUCUCC